GCAGCAACUCUCAAUUCAUCAGUUAAUGUGACAAAUAGAAAAGUAGUUUGGUUUACACAUUCCACCUGACCCAAAGGAAAGCAAGAGGGGGCGGGGGGCUUGGCAUUAGAUGUUUGGCAUUCCAGAAGCAACUCUGAGCCAGAGCGCCCGCCAGCACAGUUCUUCAAGGAAAGGACUUAUGAGAAAACAAGUGUUUUAUCCGCACAGCUUCGACGGGUGUCAGGGUGUGGCAGCUGCAGCCUUUGGUGGCACAGUGAUAAGCUUACUAAAGAGCCCUCGGUUUUGAUGCAGAGUGUAGCGUUUGUAAUCUACGGCUUCGCAUCAUGAAACUUAUGAUUGAGCCCUUAGCCACGCAAAGAAAACGGAAAAGCUGCUAACCGCAUCACAGACCAUGAAAUGUUAAGUACACAAAAGUCUAGUCAAAUGUCCAGAGACCUUGCCGGGCUGUGUGUCCUUGUGUGUGUGUUUGUUUGUGUGUGUAAAGAAAGCAACAGUUUGACCAGAAUCCGAAAGAAUACCUGCCUAACCACAAGUCAAUAAAGCAAUGUUCAACAGCCCACCCCCUGCAUGCAAUUGAAAUCAAAAUUAAAUAACAUUCUAGCAUUGAAUCGUUGUCAAGAGCUUUUAACUUUUUCCAACUACUAUAUUCAAUUGGUGAGCCAUAAAUCGCAUUAUAUCAAUAUCAAUUGUAUGGAAUCUCAUUACAAUUUCACUUUAAAUCUGGCGGAUUUCACCCAUGCAUUUUAAUACAAUCGCUUACCAACACUUAUAUUAUGCCUAUAUUUUAACUAAAGCUUAGGGUUUUUAAGUAACUGUACAAGCCUAGAUAAUACUUCAUUUAACUACGAUGACUUUUUCGAAAAUAAAACAUUUUCACUUUAUGGAUAUCAAAAUUA